CGGCCGGCUGCUCCGAGUGCAGGCCCGCCAAGCCCAUGCCCACCCGGAACUCCAGCUGGCCCGCUGUCACCUCUCAAUAUGACGCCACUAAACAUGGAGUUGAUAACAGGUGUGCAGUAGCUCAACAUUAUAUAGUAUUUCUACCAUACAGAUACAGUAGUAGACAGAGCUUGAUGAAUAUAGAACAAAUUUGCGUCAGACAAUAGCUUUUUGUUUUUAGAUAGUUUCUUUAAGGGUGAAAACAUUUAACCAGGCUCUCUUGAAGCCCUGCUGCCUGGGGGAAGUCAUUUGAUUUUUGCUAGUCUGUAUGCAUUGUUUAUGUACAGACUUUAUGGUUUUGUUCUCAAAGGCAUCUCCUCCUACCCCGAGCCUCACACUGCUGGGGUUUCGUUUGUUUUAAAUCUUGGUUGGAGGGGGCACUCUCUCCAGAAAGUAAAAGACAACGGAUCUGGCUCCAGUCCAGGACGGAAAGCAUAACGCUUGAUUUCUGGAUGGGGUUUGCACAAGGACAGCACGUGAGUUCUGCUCUCCGUGGGACUCAGACCGGAUAGGCCGUGAAAAUCUCUAAGGUGUCAGUCCACGCAACCUAACCUGGCAAAGGGAAUGCUUUGCAAACUCAGGCCCCAGAACAGAACUCGGCCUACCAGAUCCAGGGAGCCAAAGCACGCAGGCGCAGACAGAGUAGCGAAUCCAGAACCCUUGAUGUGUCCACAGAUGAAGAGGAUAAAAUACAUCACUCCUCAGAAAGUAAGGAUGAUCAGGGUUUGUCUUCUGACAGUUCUAGCUCUCUUGGAGAAAAAGAACUUUCAUCAACAGGUUAGUAAUUUGUAUGAUUUUGGUUAAGAAUUUUAUUUUUAAUAUAGUGUUUUUGAUAUAGUUAUUAAUGACAUAACAAACUCUAGUGACAUGGGGCAAGUAGGUCAUUAAUGAUGAUUGUCAGAGUGCCAAAAUUGCUCAUUUUUAUUACAUUUUAACAUGCACAGGUCAGACAGCUUAUAAGUAGCAGGGCUAGGAUUCAAACCCAGUUUGUUCUGGAGCCUGUAUUCUUCUUAAUCACUGUGCUAUACUGGGUGAUUGACAUUGAUACUUGAAGGAUGGUAAGAAUUUGUCAGGGAGGAUGUUUCAGGUAUAGGAUGUAGCAUAUCUGAAACUCUAGGGAAGGUAUGUAAUAUGUGCAGGAAGCUAAAAAUAGCUCUGGCUGAAAGUAUUUGGUUGCGAGUUUAAGGAAAAGAAAACAGGAAGGACAAGUUGGAGUCAGAUUAUACAGGGCUUAGGGAACCACUGAAAAUUUUAUACAGAUGACAUGAAUGUUUUUGUGUCUUAGAAAGAUCAGUCUAGUUCAGGGGUUGGCAAAUCUGGCCCACCACCUGUUUUUGUAAACAAAGUUUUAUUAAAACACAAUCACAGUCUUUCAGUUACUUAAUAUUUGUGGGUGCUUUUGCACUGCAGCAGCAGAGUUGAGAAGUUGCCACAAAGACCCUAUGGCCCGCAAAGUGAAAAAUAUUUAUCUGGCGUCUUACAGAGGUUUAUAACUUGUUUUGUGCCGUGGACUCCUUUUUCAGUCUAGUGAAGCCUAAGAUCCCUUCUGAGAAAAUAAAGUAAAAUACAUAGCUUUGUAGAGGAAACAAAUUAUAUUGAAAUAAAAUUAUUAAAAUAUAUUUU
rnacentral:lncRNA from 10 species